CGCGGGAUUGGACGGGGUGCAGCAGGCGCGAAAACUUUACAAUGCAGGAAACUGUGAUAAGGGGACCCUAAGUGCUUAACUUACGUUAGGCUUUUGCCAAGAGUAAAUAUCUUGGAGAAUAAGUGGUGGGAAAGACUGGUGCCAGCCGCCGCGGUAACACCAGCGCCACGAGUGGGAAUCAUAUUUAUUUGGCCUAAAGCGUCCGUAGCCGGUCGUGUAAAUCCUUUGUGAAAUCAUUAAGCUCAACUUAAUGGCGUGCAGAGGACACUGCUCGACUUGGAACCGGGAGGAGUCAGAAGUAUGGAAUGGGGAGCGGUAAAAUGUGAUAAUCCAUUCUAGACUACCUGUGGCGAAGGCGUCUGACUAGAACGGAUUCGACGGUGAGGGACGAAAGCCAGGGGAGCGAUCCGGAUUAGAUACCCGAGUAGUCCUGGCUGUAAACGCUGCGAGCUAGGUGUUGCAUAUUCUACGUGAAUAUGCAGUGUCGAAGUGAAGACGUUAAGCUCGCCGCCUGGGAAGUACGGUCGCAAGACUGAAACUUAAAGGAAUGCGGGGGGAGCACUACAAGGGGUGCGGCGUGCGGUUUUAUCCCUACUCACACAGAGAAUCUCACCGGGAGCGACGGCAGGAUGAAAGUCAGGCUGAAGACCUUACUAGACAAGCCGAGAGGUAGUGCAUGGCCGUCGUCAGCUCGUGCCGUAAGGUGUCCUGUUAAGUCAGGCAACGAGCAAGACCUGCACCUAUAAUUGCCAGCGAGUCUUUUGGGCGAUCGGGCACAUUAUAGGAACUGCCUUGGAAACAAGGAGGAAGGUGCAGGCAACGGUAGGUCUGUAUGCUCCGAAUCCCCCGGGCUACACGCGCGCAACAAUGGUAAGGACAAAGGGAUACUACUCCGAAAGGAGACGUUAAACCUCUAAACCUUAUCCAAGUUCAGAUUGAGGGUUGUAACCCACCCUCAUGACGAUGGAAUCCCUAGUAAUCGGAUGGUAUCAGCGUCCGGUGAAUAUGUCCCUGCUCCUUGCACGAAUUCGCCGAAUCACUAGU
rnacentral:rRNA from 1 species